GACGAACGCUGGCGGCGUGCUUAACACAUGCAAGUCGAACGCUGAAGCUCAGCUUUUGUUGGGUGGAUGAGUGGCGAACGGGUGAGUAACACGUGAGUAACCUGCCUCCUUCUUUGGGAUAACGCCCGGAAACGGGUGCUAAUACUGGAUAUUCACUGGUCUUCGCAUGGGGGUUGGUGGAAAGGGUUUUUCUGGUGGGGGAUGGGCUCGCGGCCUAUCAGCUUGUUGGUGGGGUGAUGGCCUACCAAGGCUUUGACGGGUAGCCGGCCUGAGAGGGUGACCGGUCACAUUGGGACUGAGAUACGGCCCAGACUCCUACGGGAGGCAGCAGUGGGGAAUACUGCACAAUGGGCGCAAGCCUGAUGCAGCGACGCCGCGUGAGGGAUGGAGGCCUUCGGGUUGUGAACCUCUUUCGCUCAUGGUCAAGCCGCAACAAUGGUUGUGGUGAGGGUAGUGGGUAAAGAAGCGCCGGCUAACUACGUG
rnacentral:rRNA from 1 species